rnacentral:rRNA from 1 species
UACGUAGGGUGCAGGCGUUAAUCGGAAUUACUGGGCGUAAAGCGUGCGCAGGCGGUUUCUUAAGUCUGAUGUGAAAGCCCACGGCUCAACCGUGGAGGGUCGUUGGAAACUGGGGAACUUGAGUGCAGAAGAGGAAAGUGGAAUUCCAAGUGUAGCGGUGAAAUGCGUAGAGAUUUGGAGGAACACCAGUGGCGAAGGCGACUUUCUGGUCUGUAACUGACACUGGGGCGCGAAAGCGUGGGGAGCAAACAGG